CACCUCAUUUUAUUCUUCUUGCAGUUUUCACAUGGGUUAUGGCUAGUUUACCUUUGAUUCAUUUUCCACAAUAUUAGUUUUCAAAAUGCAUGUUAGAAUCAACUGGAUUAGUUCCAAAAAUUAUGUUACUUAUGCUAAGAUUUCUUGGGCAUGGUAUAGCUUACCAUUUAAGAUCUCACUUAUAGGCUAGAAAUCUUCACUCUUAGCAACUUCAGCAAAUGCUAUGUUAGCAUUAUAGGGAGAUCAUGUAAUUUUUUAGAUUAAUUGCAAAUAUCCUCAAUGUAUUCUUAAAUAAUCUAGAAAUGACUUGUGUUGUAUUACAUAAUGAUUUGUUUGUAAUGUGUACCUAUUAAAGUUUUUUAUCCCUUAAUCUAGCAGGUAUAUUUGUGAAAUUACAAAGGGAACCCAACUUCACUAUCCUCUUAAAUACUAGUAAGACCUUAAGGAAUAGGAAUCGAUAGGCCCUUUCAUAGGCCAAAUAUAGGAAUGGGGAUGUGUGACCCAUUCAGACUCCCCAGAGAGACAUUCUU